rnacentral:rRNA from 1 species
GGGUUCAUGGGCGCAGCCUGAAGGCAGCCCUGCCGCGGUGAUAUGAAGAAGGCCUUCGGGUUGUAAAGCUACUUUCAGUUCGUGAGGAAGGCGGCGUCGAUUAAUAGCGGCGUUGCUUUGACGUUAGCGACAGAAGAAGCACCGGCUAACUCCGUGCCAGCAGCCGCGGUAAUACGA